GAUGAACGCUGGCGGCGUGCCUAAUACAUGCAAGUCGAGCGAACAGACGAGGAGCUUGCUCCUCUGACGUUAGCGGCGGACGGGUGAGUAACACGUGGAUAACCUACCUAUAAGACUGGGAUAACUUCGGGAAACCGGAGCUAAUACCGGAUAAUAUAUUGAACCGCAUGGUUCAAUAGUGAAAGACGGUUUUGCUGUCACUUAUAGAUGGAUCCGCGCCGCAUUAGCUAGUUGGUAAGGUAACGGCUUACCAAGGCGACGAUGCGUAGCCGACCUGAGAGGGUGAUCGGCCCCACUGGAACCGAGACCAGGUCCAGACUCCUACGGGAGGCAGCAGUAGGGAAUCUUACGCAAUAGGCGAAAGCCUGACGGAGCAAAGCCGGGUGAGUGAUGAAGGUCUUCCGAUCGUAAAACUCUGUUAUUAGGGAAGAAAAAAUGUGUAAGUAACUAUGCACGUCUUGACGGUACCUAAUCAGAAAGCCACGGCUAACUACGUG
rnacentral:rRNA from 1 species